rnacentral:rRNA from 1 species
UACGGAGGGGGCUAGCGUUGUUCGGAAUUACUGGGCGUAAAGCGCACGUAGGCGGCUUUGUAAGUUAGAGGUGAAAGCCCAGGGCUCAACCCUGGAAUUGCCUUUAAGACUGCAUCGCUAGAAUUGUGGAGAGGUAAGUUGGAAUUCCGAGUGUAGAGGUGAAAUUCGUAGAUAUUCGGAAGAACACCAGUGGCGAAGGCGACUUACUGGACACAUAUUGACGCUGAGGUGCGAAAGCGUGGGGAGCAAACAGG